AUUGAACGCUGGCGGCAGGCCUAACACAUGCAAGUCGAGCGGUAGCACAGAGAGCUUGCUCUCGGGUGACGAGCGGCGGACGGGUGAGUAAUGUCUGGGAAACUGCCUGAUGGAGGGGGAUAACUACUGGAAACGGUAGCUAAUACCUCAUAACGUCGCAAGACCAAAGUGGGGGACCUUCGGGCCUCAGGCCAUCAGAUGUGCCCAGGUGGGAUUAGCUGGUAGGUGGGGUAACGGCUCACCUAGGCGACGAUCCCUAGCUGGUCUGAGAGGAUGACCAGCCACACUGGAACUGAGACACGGUCCAGACUCCUACGGGAGGCAGCAGUGGGGAAUAUUGCACAAUGGGCGCAAGCCUGAUGCAGCCAUGCCGCGUGUGUGAAGAAGGCCUUCGGGUUGUAAAGCACUUUCAGCGGGGAGGAAGGCAUUAAGGUUAAUAACCUUAGUGAUUGACGUUACCCGCAGAAGAAGCACCGGCUAACUCCGUGCCAGCAGCCGCGGUAA
rnacentral:rRNA from 1 species